rnacentral:rRNA from 1 species
AUUGAACGCUGGCGGCAUGCCUUACACAUGCAAGUCGAACGGUAACAGGUCUUCGGAUGCUGACGAGUGGCGAACGGGUGAGUAAUACAUCGGAACGUGCCCGAUCGUGGGGGAUAACGGAGCGAAAGCUUUGCUAAUACCGCAUACGAUCUACGGAUGAAAGCAGGGGACCGCAAGGCCUUGCGCGGACGGAGCGGCCGAUGGCAGAUUAGGUAGUUGGUGGGAUAAAAGCUUACCAAGCCGACGAUCUGUAGCUGGUCUGAGAGGACGACCAGCCACACUGGGACUGAGACACGGCCCAGACUCCUACGGGAGGCAGCAGUGGGGAAUUUUGGACAAUGGGCGAAAGCCUGAUCCAGCCAUGCCGCGUGCAGGAUGAAGGCCUUCGGUUGUAAACUGCUUUGUACGGAACGAAAGACUCCUUCUAAUAAAGGGGUCCAUGACGGUACCGUAAGAAUAAGCACCGGCUAACUACGUGCCAGCAGCCGCGGUAAACUCGU